UUCAAAAUUUAAACUAUAAUUUCAACCCCCCCCUACCCCUCUCUCUCUCUCUCUCUCUCAAAUCCUGAGUGCCUCAUCUUUCAAAAUUCAUCUAGGGUUUCAAGAUCCGCAUUUAGGUGCUGAGUGUAUCGAUCCUGACUAUAUAUGGUGCAGUUUGCAAUUACUAAUCCCCAUUCUUGCAAUUACUCACAACUGGAGGACCAAAAGGGCAUUGCAAUUGCCGGAAUACCCGGAUCAAGCUGAGCUUGAUGCACUGCUCCAAACCCUUGAUUCGUUUCCUCCGAUUGUGUUCGUCGGAAUAGGCUUGGUGAGGCGGCUAUGGGGAAUGCGUUUCUUUUGAUGGGUGGUGAUUGUGCUGAGAGUUUUAAGGAGUUUAAUGUGAAUAAUAUUAGGGAUACUUCAGGGUGAUUCUUCAGAUGGGUGUUGUGUUGAUGUUUGGUGGUCAAAUGCCUGUCAUCAAGGAUUCAUCGUGUUGGUCUUCGUGAAAAAGUAUACUUUAAACCAGAAGAUGAGAAGAUGAUCUGAAGGCUGCAAUUGUAAGCGGUUCUAGUUUCCAGGGUUUUUUAACUUACAUCUGCCAGUCGUAAACAUUGUUGUGAAGGUGAAAUUGAAACUCCAAGAGCCUGUGAACUCUCACAAUCUGCUUCCUCGAAACGAUUACCAUUUCAAAAGAUUCUGCUUCAUUUAAUCUCAGCGGAUUCUUCGACACUUGACAACAAUGAACCAUCAGCCAAAAUUGUUGGGUUUAGGGGCUAUGAUCUUAAAUCCUGACAUAAAUCAACAACAUUCUAAAGGAUGGAUAACAGAGAAGGAAGCACAUGCUGGAAAAGGUGGGCGAGUGCAAUCAACAAAAAAAGAGCAAGUUCAAGACAUGGCUGUUUGAUAGCUAGAUAUGGGACUAAUCAUGCUUCCUUUGAGUUGAUAUGAUUUUUUUAUCAUCAAGUGUUGUGGUCAGAUUGAGGGGAGGCUGGUCCAAUGGAAUGGAAAUUGGACAAGUGAAACCUGUAGUAUGUGAGCCAUAGCCAUCGGAAACUUCUCCAAUGGAAUGGAAGCUGGACAAGCUGGGGAAAAAAGGCAAAACCUGGAACUAAAAGGCACGUGUUUCAUCAAUGUCAGUUGCUUGGGACGUCUGAGAAUGACUCAUCACUGGCUCACAAUCUGAUUCAUCAACGGCACUUGCUUAAAUAAAUUUUAGGCGAUUUUCAACCUGUUUGACAUGCUCAUUUUUUUGCUAAACUUUUAGACUUAACCCGCUUGAGAUAAACACAACCUGAAUGACCCAUUUGUAACCAAUUACAUAAACAAUUUUCUUCAUCUUUUGUCUAAUCAGGACUAGAUACCCAAAAAUCGCAACAAUUGAACAACAGAAACAGUCUAAUUGGUUAUUUUUUUGUCUGAUUAGGAUCUCAUUUUUUGCCAUGACAUUUUUAGACCCCUCAAGAAUAAAGUCUCAGUACAUGGCUCUUAAAUUGCAUACAGGGAGUGAAUAGUUAGAGUAACUUUCCAUUGAAGGGUCGGAGGUGCUCUGGCAGUGGAGGCGGUGCUGGCGCGGAGGUUUACGGGGUCCAGUACUCCGGAACGAUACCAUGUAUUUUUAUGCUGCGUGCCGGCAGGUGAAAUCCGGAUGAAUAAGACUUAUCACUCUUUACAAGAUGGAAUUGAGGGCAGAAUAUGAGGAAUGCCUACUUAAACGUCAUGAUCAGAAUAAUAUGACCACCAUCAAGCAACAACUACUUGCAUUACUAUAACACCAGAUGCCAUGUAUGAAUUCCAGGAAUGUAUUGAUUGGAUGAUACACAUUUAAAGCGUCUUACAACAUGAAGACACUAAUUGAUAAAGGUUGAUCAAAUCUAAGCUGAUUCAAUAUAUUUUUGUAUUCAAAAUAGUGAUAAAUUUGUCUUCGAUUUCACAUUAAAACUGGUAUGCUUAAUAUUUGUCUUCGAUUUCACAUUAAAACUGGUAUGCUUAAACCUUAUAGGGUUUGAAAACAGUGGUUCAAACCACUGUUGUAAUCAAAUUGUGCUUGGAGAAAACAGUGGUUGAAACUACCGUUGGGUAAUAUUUUAUUGGGUUUACUGGGUUAAAACAGUGUUUUGUGGAGAAAACGGUGGUUGAAACCACUGUUGGGUUAAAACUUUGGUUUGAAACCGAUGUUCGGCUAAAACAGUGUUUUGUGGAGAAAACAAUGGUUGAAACGACUGAACCACUGUUUUAACCUAACAGUGGUUUCAACCACUGUGUUCUGCACAAAACAUUGUUUUAACCCAAUAAAAAAUUACCCAACAGUGGUUUGAACCACUAUUUUCUCCAAGCCCAACAGUGGUUUUUUUUAGUUACAGAUUAGCCAAGAUUAGUUACCUCAGAUUUGGUCUUAAUCACAAAAUGAUGGCUGGAAAAAGUGAAGAGAAAAGGAUGCACAAGACCUUGGAAUCGCCAUUGAACAUGAGUGAUAUGAUGACUCUCUUGGAGCUUAAAAAUGGAGGUCCAAUUGUUAGUGAAUAAUCUUUGAUUGGAUUAGAUGGUGAUGAGCUUGCUCCGUGGAUAAUCUUUAAAACGAAAAUAACCUCUCUUUGGUUGAUAAUAGAGCUAUAUAAUAGUCUAAGCAUUUAUUUUUAUUUUAUUUUUUGCAAUGCUGAAUGAAAAAAAAUUGUUAAUCAUAUACUGAUAUUGUUUGUUAAGCCACUAAUAUGAAAAAUUUACUUAUUAUCGUUAUUGGUAAUUAGUUGGCUUUAUUUUUGUGUCAGUUUCCAGCCUAAUCAAUCCGCUCGAAAAAGAGCUAUGUGAAUUGCAAGCCUAAUCCAACUACGGAACAAUACUAAACGACGGAGUUAUUCAAAAGAGUCAUUCUGUCAAAGAUUAGCUGACUUCCUUUUCAUUUUCUUUUAUUUUCUCUAACAUAAAAAGAAGCCAAGGCAUUAUUUAUAUUAUAUAUUAAUGAAAUUCGUUGAUUAUUGUGUUACAUAUGUAGGUAUGGGUCGGUGUAUGGGACGACGGAGAGUGGUGUUGGAUGGCAUCUAUGGGACUGAAUGAAGGAUGUCAUGGGUCAAAUGGGCUGAAGGGGUUGAAACAAAUGUGGCAUAUGCUUUACCAAAAAAAUAGUUAGAUCUAUUGUAUACAUCAACUUUUUUUGGGAUAGCAGAAUGCAUCAGAGUGUGAGCGUCCGAUAUUUAAUAAAGGACAGUUUUCGUUUCGUUCAUCCUCUCAUUGAAAUGUCAUUUUGGAGAAGAAUGGGGAUAUCCGUGGCAUGGGAUACACGAGGAUCAUGGCUGGGAUAAGGAGAAAGUCGGAUGAGCCAUUGAGGAAUUACAAGCAAGAAUUGAAUAAGAUGAAAUAAAAGUCAAAAGAACGUGGAUAAUCACAAUCACUAGAAUGCUAGAGUGAUGAUAUUUGGUGCAACUAAUCGUCCUUCAGAGCUUGAAAAAGCAAUAUUUAGUCGACUUCCACAACCAUUUGAGAUAGAUUACCUAACCGGAAAGAAAGCGUUAGCAUUUUGAAGGUGAUUAAAAGUCAAGAGAUUAGAGGUAGGCAUUGAUCUUAAAUGAACAGCUGCAUGUGUCUAAUUAGAUGCACAUACAUAAAAGCCUUUAGAUGCACAUACAUGUGUCUAAUUCGUUUUGCUUCUCUUGUGUCUAAACAUGUUUUGUGGGUUCAUUAUGCUUCUCUUGUGUCUAAACUUAAUCAGUCGACAAGUUUAA